UAUUCAUCGACAAAUCGCUUCUCAUACAUUGAGGAGAGAUGAAUGCCAAGAGGCUGACGCCGGUUCUGCUCGCCGUUCUAUUGCCAUGCCUAUGCCUUAUGUUCGUUGCAAACUGUAGCGACGUGGGCAUACCGGCGGCGGCUGGCGGUCUCCGGCGGCUACCGGACGGAGAGAAGAGCAACAAGAUACACAUCAUACUGUGUGUGAAGUCCCAUUGCUACGGUCCCGUCAAGACAUGUUACUGCUGCAACACACUCGUUAAUGUAACGUGCUACACAGAUCAGCAAUACUGCUGGAGCGUGUGUCCCAGUAGACUCCAAGGGAUGAUCCCUGCACCCGCGCCAGCGCCAUUGCCAUCGCCAACGGGUCGUCGCGGCAGGUUCUCUCGAGCCUCGACUUCUCCGACGAGUAACAACAAUUCGUGAAAUUAUGUCAUGCCUGACAGCGUGAGCGUAGGAUGAUGAUAUAUAUGCAGCAACUUUAAUUUAUAUGCAACAAUAAUGGACGGGAACAUUUUUGGGAUUCAGAUUCA